UACGGGGGGGGCAAGCGUUGUUCGGAAUUACUGGGCGUAAAGGGUUCGUAGGUGGCUUGCUAAGUCAGACGUGAAAUCCCUCAGCUUAACUGGGGAACUGCGUCUGAGACUGGCAAGCUCGAGUGCAGGAGAGGAACGCGGAAUUCCAGGUGUAGCGGUGAAAUGCGUAGAUAUCUGGAGGAACACCGGUGGCGAAGGCGGCGUUCUGGACUGCAACUGACACUGAUGAACGAAAGCCAGGGGAGCAAACGGG
rnacentral:rRNA from 1 species